rnacentral:piRNA from 1 species
UGCUUGCUUCCUGGGAUGCCCUGAU